rnacentral:lncRNA from 1 species
UGAUCCUCAUUCAGACCCGGCCCGUCCAAACUUUGCGAUGGGCUUAUGCUGUAAAAUCGUAGCCAAAGAUAAUACUAUCCCAACACUAAUAAGCGUGUCCAUAUCCCAUUUCGUUAUCAAAAAAAAUUGGAUGGGGUUUCAUUCCAUGUUGUGAACUGUUGAACGUGAGAUAAAGUUUUGUAUUCGAAAGUAGUAUGAUUAUCAAACCUUGUCCUCUAUGAUAAUCAUAAUAAUCAUUGUGAUGAUGAUUAAAAAGGUAGCUUUCAUUAUUGUGUAGAUCACACAUCAUAGACAAUCUGAUGGAAUAUGAGGAUUCUCUACAACUGUGUGCAUAUUUAGAAAUUUUGGCUUUAAAUGUUUGUU